GUUGCUGUGGCCAAGUGGUAAAGGCGAAAGACUAGAAAUCAUUUGGGAUCUUGCCGCGCUGGUUCGAAACCUGCCGACAACG
rnacentral:tRNA from 1 species